AUAAAUGAACCUAACUCUAUUUCAAAUGCGUAACAUAAGCGACUUUAAGAAGGGCAAUAAAAAGAUCCUGCACCAGUCUCGGACAUGGUAUUUUGACUAGAUGCCCUCAGGCUCAAGACAAAAAGAACUGUCAAUAAAUAUUGAGCCUGCGGUCUUGGGUUUGUUUUCCACAGCGUACAGAUUAGCCAUUCCACAGCGAUGUCGUGUGUGUUCUAGGAUUCAGUAAACGAGACUGAGUUUGUUCACUGUCAGAGAAAACGGUUUCAGACACGGAAUGCGGAAGGCUGGAAGGAACCCACCGGUGUUGAACGGAAUCGGAGGCAAUCACAUCUAGAAUCUCGUCCAUCCAGAAUCACAAAGUGCUAGAACCAGAAAGAGGAUUCAUGCACUCCUAAAGAACACCGUGUGGAUGCCUCCCCAGUGUCCAUCCGCUUCUCUGGGGUUUCUUCGACGCCAGCAGACGCCAACAGAAGCCUGCUCAUCAACCCGCACGACAGCCUACAAACACCAGGGAGUUAACACCCCUAGGUCCUCAACCCACAGGAGCAGAAGCCAAGGAUAAACAUCAAUACCCCCAGAGGAAGAUUCACGCUGACCUAACGUCUGUUGCCAAUCUUCCUCUUUUUGCUUGAAGAAGAUUUGCCCUGAACUAACAUCUGUGCCAGUCUUCCUCUGUUCUGUAUGGCCACAGCAUGGCCACUGACAAGUUCCGCACCCAUGAACCAAACCCAGGCUGCCAAAGGAGAGUGCACUGAACUUAACCACUAGGCCACUGGGCAGGCCCUAUUUAACCAUUUCACACCUCUUUCCAAUGUCCUUCAAAUGCACUUUGAUUAUACAAAUGUAACAUAAUUAUUAAUUACAUACAAUACAAAGCAGUAUCAUAUAAGUGAGUGCUCAAGUCUAUAAAUAUCGUGACUAUUUAGAAAAGAGGGCAAUUCCUGCGGGCUGUCAUGGUCAGAAAAGGUUUUAAAAAGGAGGAGAAAUGUUUUCUGAUCUUGCAGGAUGAAGAAGAUUCGGAUAGGUGGAAAAGAGAGGGACGGUGCCUCCCACAGGAGAGGGGCCACCUGACACAGUUGACCAUUAGUGAACCCGAGCUCCGUGCCCACCACUUUUCUAAGCAUUGUUUAUGGAUUAACUCAUUUAAUCCUCAUAAUAACUUUGUGAAGUACCUGUAUUAUUUACACUGUAUAGACAAGGAAACAGAUAUAGAGAAGUUUAAGAAACUUGCCCAAGGUCCCAUGGAGCUGGGAUUCCAACCCAGCCGGCCAACGCCAGGUCCCACACUGGCAACUCCACCAUUCUCGUUAGGCUGUCAUGUGUCUCUUUUGAGCUGAGCUGAGGAGCUAGGUUUUCAGUUUUGUUUUAAUUGUGGUAAAAUACACAUAACAUAAAAUUUACAAUCUUAGCCAUUUUUAAGUGUAAAGUUCAGCAGUGUUAAGUUUAUUCACGUUGUUGUGUAACCAAUCUCCAGAAAUUUUUCACCUUGCAAAACUGAAACUUUAUACCCAUUAAACAACAACUUUCCAUUUCCCCUCCCCCAGGAAGCCCCUGGCAACCACCAUUCUGCAUUCUGUUCCUAUGAGUUUACUAAUCUAGAGAUCUCAUACAAGUGGCAUUGUACAGUAUUCAUCCUUUUGUGUCUGCUUUUGUCAAUUAGCAUGAUGUCUUCAAGAUUCAUCUAUUUUGUAGCAUGUAUCAGAAUUUGCUUCCUUUUUAAGGCUAAAUAACAUUUUGUUGUAUGUAUAUACCGCAUUUUGUUUAUCCAUUCAUCAGCUGGUGGACAUCUGGGUUGCUUCCACCUUUCACCUAGCGUGAAUAACGCUGCUAUGAAUAUGGACAUGCAAAUGUCUGUUCAAGACCCUCUUUCAAUUCUUUUGGCUAUAUAUCCAGAAGUGGAAUUGAUGGAUCAUAUGGUAAUUCUAGUUUUAAUUUGUUGAGGGACGGCUAUCCUGUUUUCUAUAGCAGCUGUACUAUUCUAUAUUCCCAACACCAGGGCACCAGGGUUCCAAUUUCUCCACAUCCCCAGAGGAGCUAGGUUUGGACCCUUCUGAUACGAAGGCAGGACAUCUGAGUAGAACUGUCCAGGAGACAGCUGGAGACACCGACCAUGACUCAGUUCUCCGUAAUGCAUCUGGAUUCAUUUCCUAAUCAUAAAAGCAACCAUAAAAGUUAUUUUUUAAAGUAAUCUCUGGGCAAAGGAUUUGUAAGCCCAAAGGAAACUGGAAUGCACCCAGGUUCGUUCCCUUUUGGUUUCAUCUGAGGACGUGCCCUGAGAAAUGAAAAA
rnacentral:lncRNA from 1 species